rfam:Otolemur garnettii contig154360, whole genome shotgun sequence.
CAUCUUUUAAAAUGAAUGGGCUACCUGACACAUACAGGCCUCUACUAUAGAGACAAUGGCCAGUCCUAGUGUCUAAAUGAUA